rnacentral:rRNA from 1 species
GGACGAGAAGCUUGCUUCUCUGAUGUUAGCGGCGGACGGGCGAGUAACACGUGGAUAACCUACCUAUAAGACUGGGAUAACUUCGGGAAACCGGAGCUAAUACCGGAUAAUAUUUUGAACCGCAUGGUUCAAGAGUGAAAGACGGUCUUGCUGUCACUUAUAGAUGGAUCCGCGCUGCAUUAGCUAGUUGGUAAGGUAACGGCUUACCAAGGCAACGAUGCAUAGCCGACCUGAGAGGGUGAUCGGCCACACUGGAACUGAGACACGGUCCAGACUCCUACGGGAGGCAGCAGUAGGGAAUCUUCCGCAAUGGGCGAAAGCCUGACGGAGCAACGCCGCGUGAGUGAUGAAGGUCUUCGGAUCGUAAAACUCUGUUAUUAGGGAAGAACAUAUGUGUAAGUAACUGUGCACAUCUUGACGGUACCUAAUCAGAAAGCCACGGCUAACUACGUGCCAGCAGCCGCGGUAAUACGUAGGUGGCAAGCGUUAUCCGGAAUUAUUGGGCGUAAAGCGCGCGUAGGCGGUUUUUUAAGUCUGAUGUGAAAGCCCACGGCUCAACCGUGGAGGGUCAUUGGAAACUGGAAAACUUGAGUGCAGAAGAGGAAAGUGGAAUUCCAUGUGUAGCGGUGAAAUGCGCAGAGAUAUGGAGGAACACCAGUGGCGAAGGCGACUUU